UCAAGCAGGCACUUCUUGUUUAAAUUCUACAAGAAUAUCCAGCAAAUCCUUUGUAAUAUUCAUAUUUCUUUCAUUAAAGAAUGAGAUGGCAAGGCCCUAGUUUCCCACACAUCCUGUACAGCCAAUACAAGGCACAUAUUCUUCAAUAUCACUUGGCAAAUCAAAAUUGAAGCAUGUUUCACAUUUGAAAUGUCUAGUCUUCAUGCUGCCACAGCUGUAGCCACUAGAAUUGGACUUUUCCCCAAGGAAAACUGGUGAAGGGCCUCCGUCUUGAUCUCUCUGUGAUUGGUCUCCAUGAAUACUAGUACAAGGAUAUAUUUCAUGGUAUAAGAAAUUCUCCAGAGAAUCUGCUCCCUUUUUUGUCUCCACAAACUCUAAAGUCAGUGAAUCCUUCCCUGGUGCAUUUAAGAGAUCAAGCAGAAAUGACCGUUUAUCUGGCUCUUCCACCCAAACUACUUCCACCCAAACUACUUCAGAGGUAGAGCCUACUCUGCCUACAGCCAAAAAUAUAUAUUCAUCCAAAAAGUCACGAGCAAGCAUCGUAUUUCCUUAGGAAAAGUGGCACUAAACAUCAUGAUGUGAUGAAUGCCCUUUGGUGGCAUAGUAUCUUGUUCAAGUAUACAAUGUAUCUGAGGUCCAGAUCCCGUAUCCAACAUCCUAUCAACUUCAUCCAACACUAAGUAUUUGCAGAAGUCUAAUCCAAUCUUUCCUCUUUCCAUCAAAUCCACUAGACGUCCUGGCAUGGCUACUAACAAGUGGCAUCCAUGUUCCAAGACCUGAAUUUGUUGACCAAUAUCAGCAUCACCAUAAACUACACAAGGAUGAACUCUACACUGCCUUCAAAGCUUUUCCUGGACCAUCUAUAUAUAUCUGACUCAGUACGGGUAAAAGAAAUGCUGCAGUUUUCCCAGACCCUGCUUGGGCACAAGCCAUUAAGUCUCUUUUUCCCCUAAUAAUAGGAAUGGCAUGUUUUUGCAGUGGAGUAGGAUGAGUAUAGUGAGUAAGCUCUGUAAGGUCCUCUGAGCUGGCCGCACCGUGGUCAAGCCAUUGUGACAUUCCCCCACCCUUGUGAUAAUAUGCUUUGUGAUAUUCCCCAUCCUUGUGAAGGUAGUUUCUAACAUUCCUCCCCACCCUUGUGACAAUACAUGCUCCCCGCCCUUGUGAAUGUACUUUGUAACAUUCCUCUCUGCCCUUGUGAAUGUAUUUGUAACAUCCAUCCCCUGCCUGCAAAAAAUUGCUUCUGACUCCACCGCCUAUCCCAAACUUAUAAGAAUAAAUGAUAAUCCCACCA